AACGAACGCUGGCGGCAUGCCUAACACAUGCAAGUCGAACGAGAUCUUCGGGUCUAGUGGCGCACGGGUGCGUAACGCGUGGGAAUCUGCCCUUUGGUUCGGAAUAACAGUUGGAAACGACUGCUAAUACCGGAUGAUGACGAAAGUCCAAAGAUUUAUCGCCAGAGGAUGAGCCCGCGUAGGAUUAGCUAGUUGGUGUGGUAAAGGCGCACCAAGGCGACGAUCCUUAGCUGGUCUGAGAGGAUGAUCAGCCACACUGGGACUGAGACACGGCCCAGACUCCUACGGGAGGCGGCAGUGGGGAAUAUUGGACAAUGGGCGAAAGCUUGAUCCAGCAAUGCCGCGUGAGUGAUGAAGGCCUUAGGGUUGUAAAGCUCUUUUACCCGGGAUGAUAAUGACAGUACCGGGAGAAUAAGCUCCGGCCAACUCCGUGCCAGCCGCCGCAGUAA
rnacentral:rRNA from 1 species